rnacentral:lncRNA from 1 species
CUUCAGGAUUCCAGCUUAUUCAGAAGACAGGGUGAAACUCCCAGCCUCCUGAGACUGAGAAACUACUAGAUUCUUGGACUUUCCAUUCACAGAUGGCCAUUAUUGGGCUAGUUGGACUGCAACCUUGGCAUUGGAAGGAAGAUAUUUUGCAAACAAUUCUCUGACCUGCACUGGAUACCUGGAACCCGCAUAGUGGAAGGAAAGAACCAGUUCAUGCAGGUUGCCCGAAGUCAUCCACACAUGCCCCAUGAUACACACACACACACACACACACACACACACACACACACACAAUGGAUUUGCAAUAUUAUUUUUAAAAGAAAAAGAAGAGCUAGCGCACGCGGAGCCCCUGGAGUCUACCCAGCACUGGGCUGAACUGUGCAGCACUUGGCCUCUGCUUUAUACUUAACGUUCUGUUAAAACUCUUCCCACUGUGUGCCUCUUAACACUCCAUGAUUCAGAGGUAGCUUCUAGUGUGCUACCGCAAUACUAAGUAAUUAGCACAAAACGGAGUCCUCAGGGCUGCAUUUGUUAAGGUUAGAAGUCCCCACAUGCAGAGCAGAGGUUUUCAGUACCUGAAGGUGGACCAUAGCUGACAGAAGCCACCUCACCGGGGUAUGCCUGGGAAGUUAUCUUACCAUCAACAGGACUACAACCUGUCCCCAGCUCUCCCCAUGGAACCUUCCCCUCCUCUCUGCAAUGCUUUUGUACCAACUAGACACAAGCUAGAGUCAUCAGAGAGAAAGGAGCCUCAAUCGAGAAAAUGCCUCCAUGAGAUCCAGCUGUAAGACCUUUCUUCCUUCCUUCCUUCCUUCCUUUCUUUCUUUCUUUCUUUCUUUCUUU